rnacentral:rRNA from 1 species
GACGAACGCUGGCGGCGUGCUUAACACAUGCAAGUCGAACGGAAAGGCCCUGCUUUUGUGGGGUGCUCGAGUGGCGAACGGGUGAGUAACACGUGAGUAACCUGCCCUUGACUUUGGGAUAACUUCAGGAAACUGGGGCUAAUACCGGAUAGGAGCUCCUGCUGCAUGGUGGGGGUUGGAAAGUUUCGGCGGUUGGGGAUGGACUCGCGGCUUAUCAGCUUGUUGGUGGGGUAGUGGCUUACCAAGGCUUUGACGGGUAGCCGGCCUGAGAGGGUGACCGGCCACAUUGGGACUGAGAUACGGCCCAGACUCCUACGGGAGGCAGCAGUGGGGAAUAUUGCACAAUGGGCGGAAGCCUGAUGCAGCAACGCCGCGUGCGGGAUGACGGCCUUCGGGUUGUAAACCGCUUUCGCCUGUGACGAAGCGUGAGUGACGGUAAUGGGUAAAGAAGCACCGGCUAACUACGUGCCAGCAGCCGCGGUGAUACGUAGGGUGCGAGCGUUGUCCGGAUUUAUUGGGCGUAAAGGGCUCGUAGGUGGUUGAUCGCGUCGGAAGUGUAAUCUUGGGGCUUAACCCUGAGCGUGCUUUCGAUACGGGUUGACUUGAGGAAGGUAGGGGAGAAUGGAAUUCCUGGUGGAGCGGUGGAAUGCGCAGAUAUCAGGAGGGACACCAGUGGCGAAGGCGGUUCUCUGGGCCUUUCCUGACGCUGAGGAGCGAAAGCGUGGGGAGCGAACAGGCUUAGAUACCCUGGUAGUCCACGCUGUAAACGGUGGGUACUAGGUGUGGGGUCCAUUCCACGGGUUCCGUGCCGUAGCUAACGCCUUAAGUACCCCGCCUGGGGAGUACGGCCGCAAGGCUAAAACUCAAAGGAAUUGACGGGGCCCCGCACAAGCGGCGGAGCAUGCGGAUUAAUUCGAUGCAACGCGUAGAACCUUACCUGGGUUUGACAUGGAUCGGGAGCGCUCAGAGAUGGGUGUGCCUCUUUUGGGGUCGGUUCACAGGUGGUGCAUGGCUGUCGUCAGCUCGUGUCGUGAGAUGUUGGGUUAAGUCCCGCAACGAGCGCAACCCUUGUUCACUGUUGCCAGCACGUUAUGGUGGGGACUCAGUGGAGACCGCCGGGGUCAACUCGGAGGAAGGUGGGGAUGACGUCAAGUCAUCAUGCCCCUUAUGUCCAGGGCUUCACGCAUGCUACAAUGGCUGGUACAGAGAGUGGCGAGCCUGUGAGGGUGAGCGAAUCUCGGAAAGCCGGUCUCAGUUCGGAUUGGGGUCUGCAACUCGACCUCAUGAAGUCGGAGUCGCUAGUAAUCGCAGAUCAGCAACGCUGCGGUGAAUACGUUCCCGGG